AUUGAACGCUGGCGGCAGGCCUAACACAUGCAAGUCGAGCGAGCGGCGGACGGGUGAGUAAUGUAUGGGGAUCUGCCCGAUAGAGGGGGAUAACUACUGGAAACGGUGGAUAAUACCGCAUACUAUCGGAUGAACCCAUAUGGGAUUAGCUAGUAGGUGGGGUAAUGGCUCACGUAGGCGACGAUCCCUAGCUGGUCUGAGAGGAUGACCAGCCACACUGGGACUGAGACACGGUCCAGACUCCUAAGGGAGGAAGCAGUGGGGAAUAUUGCACAAUGGGAGCAAGCCUUAUGCAGCCAUGCCGCGUGUGUGAAGAAGGCCUUCGGGUUGGAAAGCACUUUCAGCGAGGAGGCGUUACUCGCAGAAGAAGCACCGGCUAACUCCGUGCCAGCAGCCGCGGUAAUAC
rnacentral:rRNA from 1 species